rnacentral:rRNA from 1 species
ACGGGUGAGUAACACGUGAGCAACCUGCCCUUCGAGGGGUACAACAGCUGGAAACGGCUAGCUAAUACCGCAUGACACAGCGGGAGGCAAUCUCCCUGCUGUCAAAGAUUUUAUCGCCGAGGGAUGGGCUCGCGUCUGAUUAGAUAGUUGGUGAGGUAAGGCCCACCAAGUCAACGAUCAGUAGCCGGACUGAGAGGUUGAACGGCCACAUUGGGACUGAGAUACGGCCCAGACUCCUACGGGAGGCAGCAGUCGGGAAUUUUGCGCAAUGGAGGAAACUCUGAACCGCAGUGACGCCGCGUGCAGGAAGAAGGUUUUCGGAUUGUAAACUGCUUUAGACAGGGAAGAAAAAGGACAGUACCUGUAGAAUAAGCUCCGGCUAACUACGUGCCAGCAGCCGC